rnacentral:rRNA from 1 species
GAUGAACGCUGGCGGCGUACCUAACACAUGCAAGUCGAACGGAGAUUACGGACGGAAGUUUUCGGAUGGAAGACUGUAAUUCUUAGUGGCGGACGGGUGAGUAACGCGUGGGCAACCUGCCCUAUACAGGGGGAUAGCAGCUGGAAACGGCUGGUAAGACCGCAUAAGUCGGCGAGACCGCAUGGUUUUGCCGGGAAAUGAGCAAUCAGGUAUAGGAUGGGCCCGCGUCCGAUUAGCCAGUUGGCAGGGUAAAAGCCUACCAAAGCAACGAUCGGUAGCCGGACUGAGAGGUCGGACGGCCACAUUGGGACUGAGACACGGCCCAAACUCCUACGGGAGGCAGCAGUGGGGGAUAUUGCACAAUGGAGGAAACUCUGAUGCAGCGACGCCGCGUGAGUGAAGAAGUAUUUCGGUAUGUAAAGCUCUAUCAGCAGGGAAGAUGAUGACGGUACCUGACGAAGAAGCCCCGGCUAACUACGUG